CGUAGGGUGCAAGCGUUAAUCGGAAUUACUGGGCGUAAAGCGUGCGCAGGCGGUUUUGUAAGACAGUGGUGAAAUCCCCGGGCUCAACCUGGGAACUGCCAUUGUGACUGCAAGGCUAGAGUGCGGCAGAGGGGGAUGGAAUUCCGCGUGUAGCAGUGAAAUGCGUAGAUAUGCGGAGGAACACCGAUGGCGAAGGCAAUCCCCUGGGCCUGCACUGACGCUCAUGCACGAAAGCGUGGGGAGCAAACAGGAUUAGAUACCCUGGUAGUCAAGGGCG
rnacentral:rRNA from 1 species